UCCGCCAUGGGGUAACUGGUAGCCCGCGAGCCUUUGAAGCUCUGUAGUGCUGGUUCGAAUCCAGCUGGCGGAGC
rnacentral:tRNA from 6 species